rnacentral:rRNA from 1 species
GACGAACGCUGGCGGCGUGCUUAACACAUGCAAGUCGAACGAAGUGGCGAACGGGUGAGUAACGCGGAAUCAACCUGCCCUUCAGAGGGGGACAACAGUUGGAAACGACUGCUAAUCCCGCAUACUGACGGUGGGGAUUGCGUCUGAUUAGCUAGUUGGUGGGGUAGCGGCCGACCAAGGCGAUGCUUAGUAGCCGGUCUGGGAGGAUGGACGGCCACAAUGGGACUGGGACACGGCCCAGACUCCUACGGGAGGCAGCAGUGGGGAAACUUCCGCAAAGGACGAAAGUCUGACGGAGCAACGCCGCGUGGGUGAUGACGGCCAUCGGGUUGUAAAGCUCUGUUAAUCGGGACGCGGUACCGGAAUAGAAAGCCACGGCUAACUACGUGCCAGCAGCCGCGGUAAUUC